UGCCAGCAGCCGCGGUAAGACGGAGGGUGCUAACGUUGUUCGGAAUUACUGGGCAUAAAGAGCACGUAGGCGGCUGCCUAAGUCAGAUGUGAAAUCCCUCGGCUCAACCGGGGAACUGCACCUGAAACUGGGCAGCUCGAGGAUGAUAGGGGUGAGUGGAACUCCAGGUGGAGCGGUGAAAUGCGUAGAUAUCUGGAGGAACACCGGUGGCGAAAGCGGCUCACUGGGUCAUUUCUGACGCUGAGGUGCGAAAGCCAGGGGAGCAAACGGGAUUAGAUA
rnacentral:rRNA from 1 species